rnacentral:rRNA from 1 species
UACGUAGGGGGCUAGCGUUGUCCGGAAUUAUUGGGCGUAAAGAGCUCGUAGGCGGUCUGUCGCGUCGGAUGUGAAAACCCAGGGCUCAACCCUGGGCCUGCAUUCGAUACGGGCAGACUAGAGUUCGGUAGGGGAGACUGGAAUUCCUGGUGUAGCGGUGAAAUGCGCAGAUAUCAGGAGGAACACCGGUGGCGAAGGCAGCUCGCUGGAACGGUACUGACGCUGAGGCGCGAAAGCGUGGGGAGCGAACAGG